GGACUGGAGCACUGACACCUCCAACAAGGAAAUCCAGACCAUGUAACUUCAACAAAAGACCCCAACAGACUAUCCUCCGCUACAGCAGCAUAACCUUCUGGAUCUCUUUAUCGUGCCUGGCUGAGGAAACCAGCAAAGCACAGACACCUCAGAUCCAGUAUCCAGUACCCCUGGGGGCCACAAGCCUUCAUCUGUCAGGUCUUCUGGGAACUUGGUGCGCCGGCCAUUAAAAAUGGAUGAAGACUCCAAGAACAG